UACGUAGGGUGCGAGCGUUGUCCGGAAUUACUGGGCGUAAAGAGCUUGUAGGUGGUUUGUCGCGUUGUUCGUGAAAACUCACAGCUCAACUGUGGGCGUGCGGGCGAUACGGGCAGACUAGAGUACUGCAGGGGAGACUGGAAUUCCUGGUGUAGCGGUGGAAUGCGCAGAUAUCAGGAGAAACACCGGUGGCGAAGGCGGGUCUCUGGGCAGUAACUGACGCUGAGAAGCGAAAGCGUGGGGAGCGAACAGG
rnacentral:rRNA from 1 species